AGGGCAGGUCUAGUAUAAGGCAUUAUACCGUGAAACUGCGAAUGGCUCAUUAAAUCAGUUAUCGUUUAUUUGAUAGUACCUUACUACUUGGAUAACCGUGGUAAUUCUAGAGCUAAUACAUGCUGAAAACCCCAACUUCGGGAGGGGUGUAUUUAUUAGAUAAAAAACCAACGCCCUUCGGGGCUUCUUGGUGAUUCAUGAUAACUUCACGGAUCGCAUGGCCUUGCGCCGGCGACGGUUCAUUCAAAUUUCUGCCCUAUCAACUUUCGAUGGUAAGGUAUUGGCUUACCAUGGUUUCAACGGGUAACGGGGAAUUAGGGUUCGAUUCCGGAGAGGGAGCCUGAGAAACGGCUACCACAUCCAAGGAAGGCAGCAGGCGCGCAAAUUACCCAAUCCCGACACGGGGAGGUAGUGACAAUAAAUACUGAUACAGGGCUCUUUUGGGUCUUGUAAUUGGAAUGAGUACAAUUUAAACCUCUUAACGAGGAACAAUUGGAGGGCAAGUCUGGUGCCAGCAGCCGCGGUAAUUCCAGCUCCAAUAGCGUAUAUUAAAGUUGUUGCAGUUAAAAAGCUCGUAGUUGAAACUUGGGCCUGGCUGGCAGGUCCGCCUCACCGCGUGUACUUGUCCGGCCGGGCCUUUCCUUCUGGAGAACCUCAUGCCCUUCACUGGGUGUGUUGGGGAACCAGGACUUUUACUUUGAAAAAAUUAGAGUGUUCAAAGCAGGCCUUUGCUCGAAUACGUUAGCAUGGAAUAAUAGAAUAGGACGUGCGGUCCUAUUUUGUUGGUUUCUAGGACCGCCGUAAUGAUUAAUAGGGACAGUCGGGGGCAUCAGUAUUCAAUUGUCAGAGGUGAAAUUCUUGGAUUUAUUGAAGACUAACUACUGCGAAAGCAUUUGCCAAGGAUGUUUUCAUUAAUCAGUGAACGAAAGUUAGGGGAUCGAAGACGAUCAGAUACCGUCGUAGUCUUAACCGUAAACUAUGCCGACUAAGGAUCGGGGCGAUGUUCUUUUUUCUGACUCGCUCGGCACCUUACGAGAAAUCAAAGUUUUUUGGGUCUUGGGGGGAAUAUGGUCGCAAGUGAUAGAAAAAAUAAAAAAGAGAGAGAAGAAACCCGGGAGGGAGGGGGGUAAAAU
rnacentral:rRNA from 1 species